UCGAUGCAUCCAACCAAGCUGUGGGGGCCAUGUUGACACAAGAGACAGAUGGUGUAGAACGCCCUAUCGCCUAUGCUAGCAGGAAACUCCAACCGCAAGAACAAAGGGUAAGAACUAUCUGUGAAGCAUGCUGUGCAUGUCCUACUUCCAGGGAUGACUAUUGCUCAUCCUCCUGGCCUACACUGUGCAAGAUUUUGAAAUGCUGAAAAAUUACAAAUGUUCAGUAAUCUCAUCAUUCCCGAAAAGCACCCAAGCAAGGAAUACCAAUGCUAAGGCAUGAUCAUCACCUCUCCCACCCACCCCCAAACUGCACAGACUGCCAUGCCAAUCUGCCUAUGAAAAAAAACAUGCC